rnacentral:rRNA from 1 species
UACAGAGGGGGCAAGCGUUGUUCGGAAUUACUGGGCGUAAAGGGCGCGUAGGCGGCCUUCUAAGUCGAACGUGAAAUCCCCGGGCUCAACCCGGGAACUGCGUCCGAUACUGGAAGGCUUGAAUCCGGGAGAGGGAUGUGGAAUUCCAGGUGUAGCGGUGAAAUGCGUAGAUAUCGUAAGGAAGACCAGUGGCGAAGGCGGGUCUCUGGACAGUUCCUGACGCUGAGGCACGAAGGCCAGGGGAGCAAACGGG